UACGGAGGGGGCUAGCGUUGUCCGGAAUCAUUGGGCGUAAAGCGCGUGUAGGCGGCCCGGUAAGUCCGCUGUGAAAGUCGGGGGCUCAACCCUCGAAAGCCGGUGGAUACUGUCGGGCUAGAGUACGGAAGAGGCGAGUGGAAUUCCUGGUGUAGCGGUGAAAUGCGCAGAUAUCAGGAGGAACACCCAUUGCGAAGGCAGCUCGCUGGGACGUUACUGACGCUGAGACGCGAAAGCGUGGGGAGCAAACAGG
rnacentral:rRNA from 1 species